rnacentral:lncRNA from 1 species
AUUAUUUCCUCUGGGAAGUAGAUUUCCAUGGCCGGAUCAACAUCUAUCUGAUUUAUACUUUUUGAUGGCUUCACAAUUAUGAAUUACCUCCUCUUCAGUUAUAUUCUUUGACGGCUUCACAAUUGUCUUGUCUUCAAUUAUAUUCUUCGAUGACUUCACCCCAACUAUCUUAUCUUCAGAUAUAUUCUUUAACGGCUUCACCAAUCUCUUCUCUUCAAUACAAAUGCAGGUCAUAAAUUGAAAAAAUAAGCCAUUUUCCCCAUCGUUUAGAGCUUCCCUUUUUCUCUAUUUCCUCUGAUUAUUAGGGUUACAAGAUCCGGUCAAGAAAUACGGG